AGCGAACGUUAGCGGCGGGCCUAACACAUGCAAGUCGAGCGAGAAAGGGGGUUCGCCCCCGAGUACAGCGGCGGACGGGUGAGUAACACGUAGGUAAUUUUCCCUUGAGCGGGGGACAACGUUCCGAAAGGGACGCUAAUACCGCAUAAGUUCUUGGGUGCUUCGGCACUGGAGAGGAAAGCUAGGCCGCAAGGUCUGGCACUCGAGGAGAAGCCUGCGUCGCAUCAGCUAGUUGGUGGGGUAAUGGCCUACCAAGGCAAAGACGCGUAGCUGGUCUGAGAGGAUGAUCAGCCACACUGGGACUGAGACACGGCCCAGACUCCUACGGGAGGCAGCAGUGGGGAAUAUUGGGCAAUGGGCGAAAGCCUGAUCCAGCAAUGCCGCGUGAGUGAUGAAGGCCUAGGGUUGUAAAGCUCUUUUACCCGGGAUGAUAAUGACAGUACCGGGAGAAUAAGCCCCGGCUAACUCCGUGCCAGCAGCCGCGGUAAU
rnacentral:rRNA from 1 species